CGCUUUUUGUAUAUUUAAUUUUAAGUAUAACCUGCCCACUGAUAAUUUAUUGAAGGGCCGCGGUAUUUUGACCGUGCAAAGGUAGCAUAAUCAUUAGUUUUUUAAUUGAAGACUUGUAUGAAUGGAUUGACGAGGAAUAAUCUGUUUCUUAUUAUAUUAUUGAAUUUAAUUUUUAAGUUAAAAAGCUUAAAUUUUUUUAUGGGACGAGAAGACCCUAUAGAGUUUUAUAUAUUAUAUUUAUUUGUUUAUUUGUUUAUUUAUUUAUUAUAUAAUUUAUUUUGUUGGGGUGAUAUAAAGAAUUAAUUAACUCUUUUUUUUUGUAUACAUUAAUUUAUGAAUAUAUGAUCCAUUUUUGUUGAUUAAAAGAUUAAAUUACCUUAGGGAUAACAGCGUAA
rnacentral:rRNA from 1 species